rnacentral:rRNA from 1 species
GAUGAACGCUGGCGGCGUGCCUAACACAUGCAAGUCGAACGGAGUCGUUUUGGAAAUCUCUUCGGAGAUGGAAUUCUCGACUUAGUGGCGGACGGGUGAGUAACGCGUGAGCAAUCUGCCUUUAAGAGGGGGAUAACAGUCGGAAACGGCUGCUAAUACCGCAUAAAGCAUUAAAUUCGCAUGUUUUUGAUGCCAAAGGAGCAAUCCGCUUUUAGAUGAGCUCGCGUCUGAUUAGCUAGUUGGCGGGGUAACGGCCCACCAAGGCGACGAUCAGUAGCCGGACUGAGAGGUGGAACGGCCACAGGGGGAGUGAGACACGGCCCAGACUCCUGGGGGAGGCAGCAGUGGGGAAUAUUGCGCAAUGGGGGAAACCCUGACGCAGCAACGCCGCGUGAGUGAAGAAGGGCUUCGGGGUGUAAAGAUCUUUAAUGAGGGACGAAAGAAAUGACGGUACCUGAAGAAUAAGCGCCGGCUAACUACGUG